rnacentral:rRNA from 1 species
UACAGAGGUGGCAAGCGUUGUUCGGAAUUACUGGGCGUAAAGGGCGCGUAGGCGGUCCGAUAAGUCCCGUGUGAAAGCCCCCGGCUCAACUGGGGAACUGCACGGGAAACUGACGGACUUGAGUUCGGGAGAGGGAAGCGGAAUUCCUGGUGUAGCGGUGAAAUGCGCAGAUAUCAGGAGGAACACCGGUGGCGAAGGCGGAUCUCUGGGCCGUAACUGACGCUGAGGAGCGAAAGCAUGGGGAGCGAACAGG